UACGUAGGGGGCUAGCGUUGUCCGGAAUCAUUGGGCGUAAAGCGCGCGUAGGCGGCCAGAUAAGUCCGGUGUGAAAGUCACAGGCUCAACCUGUGAAUGCCGCUGGAAACUGUCUGACUAGAGUCCGGAAGGGGCGAGUGGAAUUCCUGGUGUAGCGGUGAAAUGCGCAGAUAUCAGGAGGAACACCAAUGGCGAAGGCAGCUCGCUGGGACGGUACUGACGCUGAGGCGCGAAAGCGUGGGGAGCAAACAGG
rnacentral:rRNA from 1 species